AUUGAACGCUGGCGGCAUGCCUUACACAUGCAAGUCGAACGGCAGCACGGGGCAACCUGGUGGCGAGUGGCGAACGGGUGAGUAAUGCAUCGGAACGUACCUUUCAGUGGGGGAUAACGUAGCGAAAGUUACGCUAAUACCGCAUAUUCUGUGAGCAGGAAAGCAGGGGAUCGCAAGACCUUGCGCUGAUUGAGCGGCCGAUGUCAGAUUAGCUAGUUGGUGAGGUAAAGGCUCACCAAGGCGACGAUCUGUAGAGGGUCUGAGAGGAUGAUCCGCCACAGUGGAACUGAAACACGGUCCAGACGCCUACGGGAGGCAGCAGUGGGGAAUUUUGGACAAUGGGGGCAACCCUGAUCCAGCCAUGCCGCGUGAGUGAAGAAGGCCUUCGGGUUGUAAAGCUCUUUCGGCCGGGAAGAAAUCGCACGGGCUAAUACCCUGUGUGGAUGACGGUACCGGAAUAAGAAGCACCGGCUAACUACGUGCCAGCAGCCGCCGUAAGAC
rnacentral:rRNA from 1 species